rnacentral:rRNA from 1 species
GAUCCUGGCUCAGGACGAACGCUGGCGGCGUGCCUAACACAUGCAAGUCGAGCGGGGAAUAUUGAGUAGCUUGCUACUUGGUAUUUCUAGCGGCGGACGGGUGAGUAACGCGUGAGCAACCUGCCUUUAUCAGGGGGAUAACGCAUCGAAAGAUGUGCUAAUACCGCGUAAGACCACAGCUUAACAUGGAGCAGGGGUCAAAGGAGCAAUCCGGAUAAAGAUGGGCUCGCGUCCGA